GACGAAUACUAGAAGUACUCUUUGUUCAUCGAUAUAAACGACGUAUGCCGAUAAUCGAAAGUGCUGGUGCGCCUGUAUAUUACUGGUUCUUUGCUAUCUGGAUUGCUUGGUCAAUGCGUUCUGAGUCAGGUUAUGAACAAUCGUUUCUCGUUUUUGUUAUUCUCGGCAGCUUAGUGUUUCUUAUUGGUGAAAUAGGAAACUGUAUUUGUCAUAUUCAGUUACGAAAAUUUCGAA